rnacentral:lncRNA from 12 species
AUGCACAAACGUGUGCAUACACACAAGCUCUCUCACAAACAAACACACACAUACACACACGCACACACACCGGCACACACAAGCUCACACACACUCAGACCCAAGCUCACAAACAAGCGUCACAUCACACCAUUGCAACAUAACAAAAGUUCACACACACACACACACACACACACACACACACACACACACUACAACUACACGUGCACACACAAGCUCACACACUCACAACUACACGUGCACACACAAGCACACACACACACACACACACACACACACACACACACACACACACACACACACACACACACACACACACACACACACACACACACACACACACACACACACACACACACACACACACACACACACACACACACACACACACACACACACACACACACACACACACACACACACACACACACACACAACACACACACACACACACACACACACACACACACAUGCAUAAGCGUGCAAACACACACAUACACACAAGCUCACACACACACACACACACAUGCAAAAGCGUGUGUAACACACUCACACGCAUAUGCACAAACGUGUGCAUACACACAAGCUCUCUCACAAACAAACACACACACACACACACACACACCAGCACACACAAGCUCACACACACUCAGACCCAAGCUCACACACAAGCGCUCACAUUGCACACGCAUGUGCAUACACAAACUCACACAAGUUCACACACACACACACACACACACACACACACACACACACACAUGCACAAGCGUGUGUAACACACUCACACACAUAUGCAGAAGCAUGUGCAUACACACAAGCUCUCUCACAAACACACACACACGCACAAACAAGCUCACACACUCACAACUACACGCGCACAUACAAGCUCACACACACUCAGACCCAAGCUCACACACAAACGCUCAUAUUGCACACGCAUGUGCAUACACAAACUCACACAAGUUCUCACACACAAGUUCACACACACACACACACACACACACACAUGCACAAGCGUGUGCAUACACACUCACACACACACACACAGAUGUAUGUGAACAGGAACAUGUGACAACCCAUUUUACUGACAGUUCAGGAAUUUAUUGA